UGCAUCAAUGAACACCAUUUUCAUCAAUCUGUAAAGUCAUCCAGUUUCGUUUCGGAUAAAAACUUUUCAAAACAGUUCAAAAAAUGUUGAAGCAGAAAAUGUGGCCCAAAUGAAUUUCAAAGAAUCAUUACAUUAUAUGUUGAAGCUAAUCAAGAUAUGGCUACCAUUAAUCACUAGUUUGUAGUGAAUUUAGGAAUAAAUUUUUGACAGACUAUGAUGGUCAACAUGCCAAAAUUUUCAAAUAAAACAAAAAUUUUUUCCAAAAAACUUGAAUAAUUUCAACAAAAAACAUGGCAAUACAAUACAAAUCAUCACAGAAAUCUUUUCAGGAAAAAAAACCAGAGCAACAAGUAUAUGAUAUUGAUACAAAAACAAUUGAAUAUUUGAAUUAGUUCAAUGAAUUUCGGAUCGUGUAACAGAUGUGACCAAUGAUAAUUACACCACCACCACCACCACCACACACACAUUCAAAACAUUCGAACAACAUUUUAAAAUCAAAAAAAACCAAUUAUAAAGCAGUUAUAUCGAUUCAUAUACGACCUUCAUCAUCAUCAUCAUCAUGAU